GUGGUGGUUUAGUGGUAGAAUUCUCACCUUCCAUGUGGGAGACCUAGGUUCUAUUCUCAGCCAGUACA
rnacentral:tRNA from 1 species